UGACCAGUCUCAACGGCGUAAGAUUUAGUUUUAAUUGCUCUAUGAAAGGGUUCUGGUGGGUGACCUUUUUCUUGCCGAUUUUAAUGGCCAUUGGGAUGGGGACUGUUUUCUUUAUCUCGACAAAGAUGCUACCUGCCAAUAGUUCAAGUAGUGUUAUUAUAUCCAUGGUUCUGAUGGCAAUAGUUGGUAUUGUUUCCAUUGGUAUUUUUAAUGGUACUUUAUAUAGUCUGGUAAUGAGUUUUCUCUGGAGUAAUACCAGUUUCGGUAUACAUCGUUUCAAGGUGAAAUUAGAUACUACGUAUUGUAUAAAAUAUGCCAUUCUCGCAUUUUUAGCUUUAUUGCCUUUUCUCGCUGUUGCUGGUUAUAUUAUCUUCGAUNCAAUAUUANAUGCGUAUGAUAGUUCUGUAUAUGCAAAUGAUGACAUUGAGAAUUUACAGNCAAUUAUGGAAAAUGCACGUAAAAAUGAUAUCGCGCAGUUNAUCUNAUAUUUUGGGAUUGCUGUAGCACAAGUUAUUU
rnacentral:rRNA from 1 species